GAUGGCGCGGAGCUGUACUGUGCGUGUUCACAGGCGUGGCCUGGGCAGGAGGUGGAUGUCUUGGGCGGCACAUCCCACCCCUCCCCGAGUGUUUCAGAGAGAAGCAGAAAGGUUUUCUAUCCCACUGGAUAGACCCACCCAGAGCCCAGCCAUGGAAUUACCCCCUUGUAAGGAGUGAUCUUAGUUCCCAACCCAGGUGUUAUUCAGGUUACUGCUGCUGUCACACAUGCAGUUACAGUCUAAAGUGAGCCCUGCUCUGAAGAGCAUCACAACCUGAGAGAAGAGGAUUUCCUCAGCCUCCCCAGCCUAAACUUCUGGAUACAGCUGGUAACAGAUCCAAGUUGUAUUUCCUUAGAACCCAGAACUGUUUGU